UCCCAGAGCCACAUGGCCAGGGAGUGCUGGAGCCGGGCUCUGAGGCCAGAGCCACCACACCACCUAGCCUCGGUGGAAAUGGGAUGCUGAUUCCAGUAAGAUAAUGUUUAAGACUGCAACACUGUGAUGUGGAAUCAUCACAAAUAUUGAGAGGAAAUGUUUAUCUGCCGCUAGUUGGGCCUCUCUUCCUUGAAGAUGGUGUACUAUUAGAGCAUC